UGGAAGUAAAAGUCGUAACAAGGUCUCCGUUGGUGAACCAGCGGAGGGAUCAUUACCGAGUUUACAACUCCCAAACCCAAUGUGAACGUUACCAAACUGUUGCCUCGGCGGGAUCUCUGCCCCGGGUGCGUCGCAGCCCCGGACCAAGGCGCCCGCCGGAGGACCAACCAAAACUCUUAUUGUAUACCCCCUCGCGGGUUUUUUUUAUAAUCUGAGCCUUCUCGGCGCCUCUCGUAGGCGUUUCGAAAAUGAAUCAAAACUUUCAACAACGGAUCUCUUGGUUCUGGCAUCGAUGAAGAACGCAGCGAAAUGCGAUAAGUAAUGUGAAUUGCAGAAUUCAGUGAAUCAUCGAAUCUUUGAACGCACAUUGCGCCCGCCAGUAUUCUGGCGGGCAUGCCUGUCCGAGCGUCAUUUCAACCCUCGAACCCCUCCGGGGGGUCGGCGUUGGGGAUCGGCCCUGCCUUGGCGGUGGCCGUCUCCGAAAUACAGUGGCGGUCUCGCCGCAGCCUCUCCUGCGCAGUAGUUUGCACACUCGCAUCGGGAGCGCGGCGCGUCCACAGCCGUUAAACACCCAACUUCUGAAAUGUUGACCUCGGAUCAGGUAGGAAUACCCGGCUGAACUUAAGCAUAUCAAUAAGCGGAGGA
rnacentral:rRNA from 2 species